UACGGAGGGUGCGAGCGUUGUCCGGAAUCACUGGGCGUAAAGGGCGCGUAGGCGGCCUGAUAAGUAGGGGGUGAAAUCCUGCGGCUUAACCGCAGGGCUGCCUUCUAAACUGUCAGGCUGGAGCACAGUAGAGGCAGGUGGAAUUCCCGGUGUAGCGGUGGAAUGCGUAGAGAUCCGGAAGAACACCGGUGGCGAAGGCGGCCUGCUGGGCAGUUGCUGACACUGAGGCGCGACAGCGUGGGGAGCAAACAGG
rnacentral:rRNA from 1 species